ACUGGAACUAAAGCAUAAGUUUAUACAGACACCCAAACAGGAACACUUCAUUUUUACAUUUAAAAUUCACAUUAAUGGUAGCAUUUAACUCGAAAGUUGUUCAGGGCUGGGGUGUUCCAGAACACAUCUACAAAUGCCCCAUUUCAUGCGUAACAGCUUGGUUGAUUUGCUUGCACAACCUACCAAGAGCAAAUCAAAAUUGUUUCUUCCCGUUUAGAAUUUUUGCCUGCUAGACCACAAUAUAAUGACACCAAUACAUUAACUCGAAGACCCAUAUCUGGCUUAUAUAUUAACACCUCUGGAUACUGCCACAGCUGCACUCUGUCAGACGUGUUGUAAUAUUUAUGAGGCGCUUGUCCACUAGCGCUCCAAUGUCCCAAACAGUGCUCACCUACACAGCUAAGUAGAUGGUCAUGAUCCAGCUAGUAAAAAG